GAUGAACGCUGGCGGCGUGCCUAAUACAUGCAAGUCGAGCGAACAGACGAGGAGCUUGCUCCUCUGACGUUAGCGGCGGACGGGUGAGUAACACGUGGAUAACCUACCUAUAAGACUGGGAUAACUUCGGGAAACCGGAGCUAAUACCGGAUAAUAUAUUGAACCGCAUGGUUCAAUAGUGAAAGACGGUUUUGCUGGCACUUAUAGAUGGAUCCGCGCCGCAUUAGCUAGUUGGUAAGGUAACGGCUUACCAAGGCAACGAUGCGUAGCCGACCUGAGAGGGUGAUCGGCCACACUGGAACUGAGACACGGUCCAGACUCCUACGGGAGGCAGCAGUAGGGAAUCUUCCGCAAAGGGCGAAAGCCUGACGGAGCAACGCCGCGUGAGUGAUGAAGGUCUUCGGAUCGUAAACCUCUGUUAUUAGGGGAGAACAAAUGUGUAAGUAACUAUGCACGUCUUGACGGUACCUAAACAGAAAGCCACGGCUAACUACAUG
rnacentral:rRNA from 1 species